rnacentral:lncRNA from 1 species
CUCUCCGGGACAGAUGCCCUAGGCCACCACUCAGCCUGGUGCCUCUGCUCACCCUGUCCUGAGGACAGGUAAGAGACUAAAAUAUAAAAUAAAAAGAACUUAGAGUCUACAUUUUCAAGGACAAGUUUUGUCACAUAGGUUUCUAUAACAACAAAAAUGGGUAUACAGAACCCAGUCUGCCGGCCUCAUCGAGGUCCAGAGGAGUCCACGUUUGUAAUCCCAGGGAAAAGUUACUGGAAUUCCAAUUGCUGGCACCUGCGGAGCCGCAGAGCACGGCGGUGGGAGCUGACUCCCUCCCUGCCAUUUGGUGGCUGCCUUUGGCUCACUGGUGAGGAUACUUUGUGGAUUCUUCUGCGCUGAUGUGAGAUACAACUUUGGAGUCAGCUCUGCGUAUAUGAAGAUGGGGGUCCAGUACAUGAGCCGUCAGCCACAUAUGGCUUUUGAGGGCUUGAAAUAUGACAAAUAAAAGCAAG